rnacentral:rRNA from 1 species
UACGACUACAUAUCAGGCAUAUCAAUAGCGGAGGAAAAGAAACUAACUAGGAUUCCCUCAGUAACGGCGAGCGAAGCGGGAAGAGCUCAAAUUUGAAAUCUUCAAGGUUUUACCUUGACGAAUUGUAGUUUAAAGAAGUGUUUUCUGUUGGAGUUUUGGUAAAAGUUCUUUGGAAUAGGACAUCAUAGAGGGUGAGAAUCCCGUAUUUGACCAUUAUUUCCAGCUUUGUGAUACACUUUCAAAGAGUCGGAUUGUUUGGGAAUGCAGUCCAAAAUGGGUGGUAAAUUUCAUCUAAAGCUAAAUAUUGGCGAGAGACCGAUAGCGAACAAGUACCGUGAGGGAAAGAUGAAAAGAACUUUGAAAAGAGAGUUAAACAGUACGUGAAAUUGUCAAAAGGGAAGCGUUUGACACCAGUGUUGUUUCUACGAAAAUCAAUUUAUGACUGGCUUGAUGCUAAGCUUUAAGACUUUAUCCGCUUGUUGUUUAGUUUUCUUGUCUUUGUGAAUGCACUUUUCGUGGAACAAGUCAACAUCAAUUUCUUUUGCUGUAAAAGGGUAAGAGGAAGGUGGCUUCGGCUUCGGUUGAAGUGUUUAUAGCCUUUUAUCUCUGCAGUCGGAGAGAUUGAGGUCUGCAGCGUAGACUCUUCGGGGUUAGAUACGUCGAUGCUAAGCUAUAGCUUUUCAUAGACAACUUGUUGACUAUGUUUAGUCAUGUGGCUUACCCGCUGGCGCUAUUUUACCUACGCUUAGGAUGUUGACUGAUAUGUAGUCGUA